rnacentral:rRNA from 1 species
GGGGAAUUUUCCGCAAUGGGCGCAAGCCUGACGGAGCAACGCCGCGUGAGGGAGGAAGGCCUGAGGGUUGUAAACCUCUUUUCUCUGGGAAGAAGAACUGACGGUACUUGAGGAAUCAGCCUCGGCUAACUCCGUGCCAGCAGCCGCGGUAAGACGGAGGAUGCAAGCGUUAUCCGGAAUUAUUGGGCGUAAAGCGUCCGUAGGUGGUUUUUUAAGUCUGUUGUUAAAGCCCACAGCUCAACUGUGGAUCGGCAAUGGAAACUGAGAGACUUGAGUGUGGUAGGGGUAGAGGGAAUUCCUAGUGUAGCGGUGAAAUGCGUAGAUAUUAGGAAGAACACCAGUGGCGAAGGCGCUCUACUGGGCCAUAACUGACACUGAUGGACGAAAGCUAGGGGAGCGAAAGGGAUUAGAUACCCCAGUAGUC